CACCGCAGAGGAAAGUAACAAACUCCACGCCCCACGCAGGCAACCCCUGCAAUCACGCACGGCAACAGAAAAUAAAAGAAACUGCCCUUCAUCACCGAAACAACCUAGAGGAGGAGGAGGAUUCAUCGAUCUCGACCUCCGCGGCGAUGGAUUUCUCCGGCGGGGCCAGCGGGGACGGGGCGUAGUGAAGCUGUCGGAGAUGUAUUGGAGCGCACGGAGGCUGCUGCUCUCGGCCCACGUCGAGCGGCUCGCCUCGGUGCCGCUCGUCGGCGCGGCGGACCCGGCGGGAGCUGACGGGUGUGGAGGGAGGCGCGUGGCGUAGAUCCAGUGCGUGUGCGCGCUGAUGGACCGGCUCUAGCGCUCCAUCCCUAAGGGCCAGCCUGAUCUCUGGAUGAGGUUUGGUCCGGGCUUGGUUGAUGAUUCCCAGGGUUGCCGGUCUCGAUCUGUGCUGUCCAAUGAUUCUGUUAUUAGAGUUGAAGGCGUCUGUGAUUGCGGUGCAAGCCAGACCUAAGGGACGACCAACAGAACAUGCUUGAGAAGACGAUGGCACCCAUCAUGCAGUCGUUCCAUGGGAUCGUGACCUGCAUUGAGAUUUCUGUGCUCUGCGCUUCGCCAGACCGAGAUCAAAAAGACCCCCAUUGUAUCAAUUUACAUUGGUAACACUUUAUUAUGUCAAAUCGUUGAGUGUUCACAAUGACACUGGAAUGCUUAAAAUAUUCGCGUAGUUGCUCAGCCCCACGUAAUAUUCCAAGAGCGCAUAUUUUUUGUAUUUUUGAUUGUUCGUUAGAGUUCUAGAUACUAUGCUCGAGUAGAGUAGGUUUACUAUAACAGAUUGUUUAGGAACCACAGGUGCAGAAGGUCUUCUACCAUCUGCGGUGUGAGGGUUUUGAAGCAGAUAUUCAUUCUAUGCGACCACGACAGGGAUGGUAUGUAUUCUUUUUGUACUUGAGACUCUUAGAUUUCCAGUGGAGUUUUGGUUUCUCCCGCUGAGAUCGUACACUUGAUGUUUAUACUAUGCAUUCAAUCUAUUCCCACACCUAAGGUCUGUUAGUGUGGAAUCUUAUUUUCCUGUAGUGUGAUUACUAUAUGCACUUAUUUGCGUGUUUUCUCACUUUUAUUUGUAUAAUCGGCAUUCUGCAUAAGUAGGGCAGCAAGAUUCAGGUAUAUGAUUUGAGGUUCGUAGUGGAGAAGAGCUGUGAGAACCUGCAGUUGCUUUGUUUUAUUGGUAUGGACUAUGAACCGACCGCAUCUUUUCACUUCCCUUCCUAGCUCUUAGGUUACAUGUUAACUAUGAACUGAGAUAAGCAAAAUAUAUAGUCCUGACAUGAGGAGCCUCAUGUUUUAGACGGUCAUUUAAGCACAUUAUUAUCAACUAUUGAUUUUGUAAUAUUUAUUAGUAGUGCAUCACUAGAAUUAAUUUUUUUUGCUUAUUUUUACCUAUUAAGUAGGAUGAACAUGUAUUUUUCUUCUUAUAAAAACUAUAUGCAUUGCACGUGUACGCUAACUAUGGAUCAAUGUGUGAGAUGUGAAUGGACCAGAAAUAACUCUGUCUAUUCAGAAUUUGUGUAUUAGUUCACUGCGUCAUCAAUAGUUAUUAGUACAACAAACACCUGUAGGAAAAACUUGUAUUUAACCAAAUGUUAAUGGCCAUUUCGAAUCACUGGUUGUUUAAGAUUUACACUGCAUUUAUAUGAGUAAAAAAAAUGAUGUUGUUUUUUGUUUCAAUUUUGGGGUGAUGCAUCACACAUUUACGGCAGUUUUGGCAGAAGAGGGGAAGUGCAUACAUUUUUUGUUGUACAAUUGAUUUACUUGAUAAAAAAAGGGAGAGAAAUACUGCGUGGGUCAAGUCGGGGAUUCAUGGCAAGGGAUUGACAAUUUUUUAUCAGAAGCAGUUCGUUACACACUGAAGUGUGACAGAAAAGGUGUGCCACUGUUUCCACAUCUCCUUUUGCGACACUAAUGUUUUUCCCAAGUCUUUUCUUCCUUUUUGUAUUGACCCAGGAAUAGUUUCGGCAUUGGAGUCAGUUUCUUCGCUGUUUUCAUUUUUCUUAUCGGGAAGUGUGAAGCUAAAUUGUGGAAUUUUUCCCAAGUCCCAGGUUUGCAUAGGCCCUUAUUACUGGUGUGCGGGUAUGGGCACAUGAGGGGUGUGCUACUGAUAUUUUUAUGUGAGAUGUUUGUUUCUCAUUUUAGCGGUCAUUCAAGUGUGAGUUAUGUGUAUCCGCAACGUGUAAUUGAGUGCGGGAACUUUUAUUAUACCUUAUCAAGGCCAUUUACAGGUUUACAUAAGCAUUUGGUUAGCAGCCUCAUCUAUGAA